rnacentral:rRNA from 1 species
AUUGAACGCUGGCGGCAGGCCUAACACAUGCAAGUCGAGCGAGCGGCGGACGGGUGAGUAAUGUCUGGGAAACUGCCUGAUGGAGGGGGGUAACUACUGGAAACGGUAGCUAAUACCGCAUACCAUCAGAUGUGCCCAGAUGGGAUUAGCUAGUAGGUGGGGUAACGGCGCACCUAGGCGACGAUCCCUAGCUGGUCUGAGAGGAUGACCAGCCCCACUGGAACUGGGACACGGUCCAACCUCGUACGGGAGGCGGCAGUGGGGAAUAUUGCAAAAUGGGGGCAAGCCUGAUGCAGCCAGGCCGCGUGUGUGAAGAAGGCCUUCGGGUUUUAAAGCACUUUCAGCGGGGAGGCGUUACCCGCAGAAGAAGCACCGGCUAACUCCGUGCCAGCAGCCGCGGUAAUAC